rnacentral:rRNA from 1 species
UACGUAGGGUGCGAGCGUUAAUCGGAAUUACUGGGCGUCAAGCGUGCGCAGGCGGUUCGUUAUGUCCGAUGUGAAAGCCCCGAGCUCAACUUGGGAAUGGCAUUGGAAACUGGCGGGCUGGAGUGUGGCAGAGGGGGGUGGAAUUCCACGUGUAGCAGUGAAAUGCGUAGAGAUGUGGAGGAACACCGAUGGCGAAGGCAGCCCCCUGGGCCAACACUGACGCUCAGGCACGAAAGCGUGGGGAGCAAACAGG